rnacentral:misc_RNA from 1 species
GAAAUGCGAUACUUGGUGUGAAUUGCAGAAUCCCGUGAACCAUCGAGUCUUUGAACGCAAGUUGCGCCCGAAGCCAUUUGGCCGAGGGCACGUCUGCCUGGGCGUCACGCAUCGCGUCGCCCCCUCGCACGCCGCAAGGCUUUAGCGCGGGGGCGGAAGCUGGCCUCCCGUGCGCCCCGAGCGCGCGGCCGGCCUAAAUGCGAGUCCACGUCGACGGACGUCGCGGCAAGUGGUGGUUGAAACUCAACUCUCUCUUGUUGUCGCGGCUACAGCCCGUCGCGCGUCCGGACUCCCCGACCCUCACCGCGCCUCACCAGGCGCUCCGACCGCGACCCCAGGUCAGGCGGGAUUACCCGCUGAGUUUAA